rnacentral:lncRNA from 1 species
AAGAUCAAACAUACGUAGCCAAGGUAAAUAAUCUGCAACAUUGAAAGUUCCUACCAAGUCCAAUAGUUCACGAACAAGGUUCUUUACAUCAAAUCUAUCGUCCUUACUGCAACCAAAGAUCAUUUUAAAUGUGACAUUCUCGAUGAUAUUCCCUGCAGUAUCACUAAGAUCUAUAACCUCACGCGAUGAUGCUAUUUUCUGGAGAAACCUAACAAACUCUGCCAACUGCUCAUUUCUCAAAGGAGAAAACAUCUCAACUUUUGAUGCAAUCAGAAGUUGUACUGUGCACAGUUUCCUCAUGAUGCGCCAGUAGGGACCAUUCUCAGAGAAUAUUAAGCCCUUGCCACCAUAGGAAAUAGAGUUGGAUGAGAUGCUUUUAGACCUAAAAGCAAAAGUAAUGUCAUGGGUCUUGAGGAAUAGUUCGGCUAUUUCAGGUGAGGAUAUCACAAUGGUUGGAACUUGUCCUAGCUUUAAGGACAUUAUAGGUCCAUAAAAUGCUGCAAGGGAUUGAAGGGUGUGGUGUGGUAGUUUCCCUAGCAUGUGGAGAUGACCAAUAAUUGGUAGGGUGUUGGGACCUGGUGGAUGUUUUCCAUGAUCUUGGCCUUGUUUUGGUUUUAACACAACAAUUGAUAAGAUAAAUAUGAAUAUCACAAAGAGUAUUGUAGGAAUAGUUAAUGCUUGAGGUAACAUUUCUAAUUUUUCUUUAUUAAAAAUGGAGAAUGUUUGGAGUAUUCCUUAUAUGAUCUUAAGGUAAUCAAGGCUUUGUCAAGUCAUGGACAUAAUUUCCUGCUACAAAAGAGAUAUGGGUGAUUGCAGAGUGAAUGAUGGCUUGGAACGUUAAAAUAGAAUAGAAAGCAAAUUUAUACUUCAUGCAAUCAAUAAAUCAUACUUGUUAAACGAAAAUUCGAUGAUUCAGGUCUUGAAUUGAUUCACGUUUUGUAGAAUUUAUGCAACAACCCAUACAACCAAAUUAUAAACAUAUAUAUUUUACAUUAUAAACAUAUAGAAAGAUAAGUUAUUGAAAUUAUGAUAAAUGUACAAUUCAAGCAUAUAUUAAUGCAGCAUUAUUUUUUGAAACUCUAUCUAAUCCAUUUCAAAACUUUAGAUCAACAUGUACACCUAAGUUCAAAUGGAUGCAAAAUAAAGAAUAACAAACUGAAGUCUAGGAAAACUUGUUUAAGUAUGUACUAGAAAGACUAACAUAUGACUCGUACCAAACAUUUUUUUAUCUACACUCAAGUCUCAACUUCAAAAGUUAAAGUAAGUUUAUUGUAUAAAUCACCUUAUGCUUACAAAUGUGUCUCAUACAAAAACUUUUCUUCAAUUUUUUACUACUUAAUAUCUUAAUUUACAUAAUUUGACUUUAUCAGUGAAACAAAUGUAUCUCUUUUCUUUUCAAACAUAAAUUUGUUUACUUAUUAUUACAAAAUCAAUAUAUCAUCUCACCUAUGUGGUCUCAAAUCAUCCAAUCUAAUCAUAACAUGUAUCAAUUUAAUGUAUUUUCAUAUAAUUAUUUAAAUGCAAGCUUAAAUAGACUAAAUAUUACAAAAAUAAAAACACAUAUAUAUAUAUAUAAUGUCACACAAAUCAAUUUGAACUUAAAUAUACUUUUUACUCUAUUCACACAUGAUUGAGCAAGUUAUUUUUAAUUGUAUCUUACUGUAAGACAUCAUUAUUCUCUGAGUCUGAUUAGCAAGUACAUGAAAAACCCUAUUAAGUUACCUUUGUUGAAAGAUUUUUUUUUCUAUUUUCAAGAAACUCGUAAUUUUGGGGUAUUUUACAAAAAAAAAGACAAAAAUAUUCAUUUGAUUGGAUUUAUCGACAAUUUUGCAGGUGAUCUAGAUGAUAAACAAACACGUAUCAUUAUUAUUUCAUGAUCUUCUAAGGAUGCUUAUUGUUUUGUAAUGUGCAUAUUUUAAAAGGUUAUACCAAAUAUAGAAAUCAAAUGUAGAAAGAGAAAAUUUGCUAAAGAGAUUAAAUAUCUCAACCCAAACAUGAAAACACCUUUCUUUCCAUAAAAAAUUAAAUAGCUUGACAAAUGACAGAUUAAAAUCAAUAUCACAUGGGUUGGGGCCAGAUUCUUGUGCUGCCAGCCAAAAAGUGAUCCUACACAAACAUUUUUAUUUUAAAAUAACACUAAAAAAAAUUAUUAAAUAAAAAUUAAUUUUAUAAAUUAAAAAUAAUUAGUUAUUAUAUUAAAUAAAUUAGAUAAUAAUUUUAAAAUUAAAAAAUUAUUAUUUUUUAAAUUAAUUUCUAUUAUUAAUAAAUAAUUUUUAAAUUGAUAUCUAAUUAGUUAUCAAGUUUUAAUUAUUAAUUUUAAAUUUAAUAAAAAAAACUUUGAUACUAAUUUAAAAAUAAUUUAUAAAUAAUAAAAAUUAAUUUAAAAAUUAAUAACUUUUUUAAUUUCUAAAAUAAUAUCUAAUAAACAGUAAAUAUAAUAACUAAUUAUUUUUUUUUGUUUUUAUUUAAACAUACUAACUUUCUGAAACUCUUGAUAUAAUUACUAACAAUUUUAAGUUAAAACUAUUAUUACUAUAAUCUCUAACAGAAUUAAAAAGAUUAAGAGAUCUUAUAAUUUUAACUAUCUUAGUAAUUAAUGUGUACACCUAAAAAAUCUGUAGAAAAUGGGAUAAAAGAUUAGGGCAGUUACUUACUUAGUGGGAUUUGGUAGCUGCAGAAUAAACUAUAAUUUUCUUUUAUACUAUUGUUGAAGAAUAGAUACAAAAUGAAUAUUCUGGUCAUAUUUUUUUGAUAGAUUUAUAAAUUCACAUGUCUGCAACUUGCUUUUUCUUUAUCUGGUGUAGGUAGAACUGUUCAUAAGAAAAACUGGUUCUGAAAUAGAGUAUGAAUAAACAACACAGUUUUUGAAGUUACAGUGAUUCAAGAAAUCAGGUGUAAAAUUAAGACUUUAGAGUCUCCCAUAUUCCAUAAACACAUUGAACAAGACAACAUAACAAACUUUUGAGACAACAACAGCAAUACUCAAAAGAUGAAAAUAAAAAUAGAAUGAGAGAGAGGUACCUUAGUUUGUGAUGGUGUGGAUCCAAUGAAGAGAAAUGAGUUGUGUUGGAAACUUCUGCAGAGAGAAUGCAGAUAAAGAAGAUCUGAGGAAAAGAAAAGUUAGAAGAUGAAACAAGUAAAGCAGAAGUACAUUAAUGUGUGGUUGAAUGAAAGAAAGAAAGAAGUACUUGUUUGGUGUGCAUGAAAGUGAAGUGAUUUUGGAAUUUAGUUUUUAUGGAUAAAUGGAAAGAUUGACUUUGUACUUCAUAUCUCCCUUAAUGCUUCUUUAUCUUUCUAAUGUCUUAUACAAAGAGACCAACUUCUAUGCCAACAAUUAUACUUUGGAUAUUUGUGUAUUUGGAUUCUGUCUACAAAUAUGAGGACAAGUAUCUUUAGAUCACAAACUCCAUACUCAUUUAAAAGUUGUGCUAUUAAUGAUGAUUUCUAAAUUGUUUCAUGAUAUUUCAGUUGGUUGUGUGAUGUUAACUGUGUUGUAUUUAAAUUUGUAAAACAACGAUUUCUUAUAUAUUAUAUAAAAUUUUAAAUUUAGAUAUGAUUUAAUUUCGGUAUCAUUUUAGUUAUAAUCAAAUAAUAUUCAUUCAUUUUUGUAUUAUAUAUAUUUAUUUAUUUAUUUAUUUAGAGAUAUAGUUUAAAUAUUAUCUUAAAUAAAAGAUAUUAUAUGAUUUGAUAGAAAUAUAUUUUAUCAAACAUUAUUUAUUAUUAAAUAUAAUUCUUUUCUUAUUGUUAGAUAUUUUCUUCAUUAUAAAUAAGAAUGAAAAGAAUGUUGCCGACAGUUUAAUAUGCAGUGAAUGCUCUUCUUAACAAGACUCCAAUUGUUUUGGUGCAAGCAAUAUUAACACACACAAAAUUUUAAAAAUAAAAAAUUUUUAAAAAUAUAUAUAAAAUGGACCUCGCCACUUAUUAAAUAUUUAUACUCAAUUCACUAUCUAUUCUUGAAAGAUUAAGUACUUUCACUCCGAUUCCUCUUUGAUUGUUAAAAAAACUCUCAAUGAAUUCAUUAAGAAUUUUACAUUCACUUGUAACCAAUCUAAACUCAACUCAAGAGGUUAAGAAAAUAAAAUUCUUAAAAAAAUUUAAAAAGUUUAAAGACAAAUUAGAAAAGCAAAAUAAAAGAAUAGGUUAAAUCAAAGAAAGUAAAAAUGUGACAAGAAUGUAAAUAUGACAAAGAGAAAAACACUUUUGAAAGACAAGAUAAUCUAAAUAAUAUAUUUAGAAUUACCACUAGAAAUAUAAAACAAAGUAAAUAAGCUAACAAUUAAUCUUCAAUAAACAAUAAUUUUCUGAUAAUUUAAUUCAAGACUAAAUCUCAUAACUAAAAUAAAAAAUAGAACAAAGUGAAUGAGAGAAAUCUUACACGAUCCUCUGAAAUCUUGUGUGAGUUUUGCAGCCACAUAUUUGAAUUCCAAAAAUCAAAGGCAUGUUUCUGUCUCUACUUCACGUGGUGUCAGAAUUCAAAGUCUAUUUCAAUUGUACGAAUUUUAAAAUGCAAAUUAACAUCCAUUUUAAUUUUUUUGAAUUUUUUAUUAAUAAUAUAAAUUAUUUAUAUAUAUAUAUAUUUUAAUAUAUUUUAGUUUAAUUUUUUAAUAAUAUUUUUUUAUGUGAUAGUAGUCAUGUUCAUAGAAAUACCGGUAAUACCCAAGAUCAGAGUUUUUAUAAAAAAAAUUAGCAUUGCAAUUGAAUUCAACUAUUUAUUUCUUAAAACGGUGUAAUUACAUUUGUUAUUUCUUAAAAUAAAAAAAAAUUUAAAAUUGCAAACAUACUAAAAAUUAAGAUUUAAGUGGAAAUUGAUAUAAUUCAAGUUAUAUAUAUAAGAAGACUUCAGUUUAAUAUAAAAUAAAGAUAAAAUCAUAUAUAACAACUUACCCAAUUUUAGAAUAAUUUUUCUUCACAAUUAAGAAAAUAUGAAAUAAAAUUACGCCAUUUUGCAAUAAAAACCUAAUUCAAAACUUGGUUCCCUUAUCAAAAUUUCUCAAAUGUAAGGAUGUGCAUUUUCCUUCCUCCAAUUUCAACUAAAUUUGCUUUUUGCACCAACAAAACUCAUGCUCACCAAUUGGUUCAAAGGAAUUCUGUUUAUGCACUGAAUCCUAAAUUUUGAAUUAAACAACAAUUUUUUCAAAUUAAUUGCAUAAACAAUCAAAUAAUUUCAAAUUAAUUUUUAUUUGCAUAAUAAUAUCUAACAUAAAUAUUUUUAUAAAAAGAAAAACUAAUUUCAAUCAUUCCAGUUCAAUAAACAAAAAUUUAUUAAAACAAAAUACAAUAAGUACAGCUGAAAAAGCUCAAAGCUCAAUAAUAAUUAAAGAGUUUGUUAUUUAUUUUAUUCAUGUAUUUCACAUAUAGAAAAAUAUAAAAAAUAUUAAGUAUUAACAAUAUCUUAAUUUUAUUUUUUAAAUCUAUAUAAUAAAUAAAUAUAUUUUUAUCUUUUAUGUAAAAGAUAUUUAAAAAAUUAUAAUUUUUUAAAAUGAAGAGUGUUGUGUGAUAGUGAAAUAUGUUAUCAGUCUUUUCACUCAGAUCCCUGUUUGAAUCAAAGGCAUCUUUCUCUCUAUCUAUGCUUCACCACGUGGUGUCAGAAUUUCAAAGUCAAUUUCAAUUGCACUAAUUUCACAAUGCAAAUUCUCUUUAAUUAAUUAUUACACCCAAAGCAUUCCAACUGAAUUCAACCUUUUUUUUAUCAAAAACGAUAUAAUUUCAUUUGAUAUUUUUUAAAAUGAAAAAAAAUCUAAAAUUAAGUUGUACAUACUUCCAUUUAAAUGAAAUUUUAUAUAAUUAGAUAAUAAGUAUGAUUUCAAUUUAAUAUAAAAUAAAAAUAAAGUUGUAUAGAUUAAGUAAUAUGAUUCAAUUUAAUAACCUUUUUCUUAUUUUCAUUCACUUUUAACUUUUUUUUCUUAAUUCAAAUAACUUAAUUUUUAUAUUUAGUUUAUCUCAUCAUUUCUUUAAUCUUUUCACAUGUGAAUGUUUUUUUUAUCAGCAAUAAAAAUUUAAUAACUAGAAUCACUUUAGGGAUGGUUCAACCCUUAUACAUACUUAUAAAAUAUAGUACAUCUUCUCAGACACCCAACUAACACGGGACAAAAAUCAAAACUAAUAUAACACUACAAACCCAGUAGAAACAUACUCCAAACUUAUCAAGGAACAUCAAAACAACAAACCUUAACCACCUAUAUCAACAACCAACCCACCAUCCCACAAAACCACCAUCCAACAAAAUAAAGAUACCUACCAACCUAAAUAAAAACAGACAACUUAUAUAGAAUUCAAACAAGAUAAAGGGGCAAGACAUCAAUCAGAGAAAGAGAAGCAAGCAGAGGAGAUUUUAGAAGUUAUCGAAGACCAAGCUUUCAAUUGAGUCAAAAUGAAAAUUCAUAAUGAUCACCACACCACCUUUAAAUAUGACAUUGUUCUUAUGACUCCAAAUCUCUCUAACCAUCGAGAUCCACACACUUUGCAGAACAGAGUUGAAAGGCUUAGGUGCAUUACAAAACUGCAUGAAAUGAGCAAUAGGAUCAAUGGGAGCAACCGACGACACUCCUAACCAUGAGAAACAUUGAACCCAAAUAAGUCAAACAAUUCUACAGUCAAAAAGUAAAUGACUAAACAAAAAACAAUACCAUCAACCACCACACCGCGUUGUGUCAAAUUAACUUUAGUAGCAAUCUUGUUUUCCAGCACCAUCCAUGUCAAAACCUGGGUCGUAGGCAAAGCCUUAAUGCUCCAAAAAAAAGUUGUACAAACUCGACAAUACCCCAUCGCUUUUACAUGUGAAAGUGAAUUUUAGUAUUUAUUCAAUUAUGUGUUGAGAAGAUAGAAGAAGUGAUGAAGAUGAUUUAUUAGAUAUGAAUGCAUUGUACCUACCAUUUGAAAUGAUUCAUAAACAUGACUCCAUGUUGAAUUAUGAGAUUAACCACAUUUUUACAAGUUUAGCUAAAAUAAUUGGAUUGUUAUAUUUAGGAGGAUAUUUUUCUUGUGUUUAUUAAGUGAGUAUAUGAACCUACAUACAUUUUAUAAGUAUAAAUAUUUAUAGGUAAUGUAGAUAUUUGUUACAAUAUAUAAAAUUUGAAAUUAAAAUAAAAUAAAAUGAAAUUAGAAAUGUAUUACCAAAUUAAUCUCUCAAAUGUCUAAAAUUAUAAAAAACAACAGUGGCUUAAAAAUCUGCAUUACUUGGCGUUGAUUAAAGUUUUAAUUAAGAAUAACUCAAUUCCACAAUUUUAUCAUUACCAAAGACUAAACAGAGAAGAAUAAAAAAAAAGUUUGGACACUGUGAUGAAAACAAUAACUAAAGUUCACUGGGGUUCUAUGGAAGAGUCUUCUGAGUGAAAAACCAAGCUGAGCAUUAGAUGGGUAGGAGUGAAGGGGAGGAUCAGUGUUGUUGUAUUCAUUGAUGUUUGUUUGGUGUUGGUGGGAUUGUUGAAGAAGUAGUGAGGGUUGAGGAGAAGAAGGGUCAGAGAAAGUAAAAGCAGUGAUGGUUUUGCCCAAAGAAGGGUUAUCUGGUGGUGGGAGGGAGAUUAUAACAACACCUUUUAUCUGAGGAAAUUGAUCGUCAUCCAUAUAUGUAGCAGAAUAUAAGGUGAAUGAGUAAAAUUCUCAGCAAUAAGACUCAUUCAUUUAGAAUGGAGUGGCUAAGACUAGUUUACUAUACAACAUUUUAAAUCAUGUCCACAAGUUUUGUAACUUAAGAGUGUUAUAUAAUAUCAAUGUAUUUUGUGAUAAUCAAAGAGGUCUAAAAAUAACAUUUAUUAUAAAAGAACAAAACACAAAAGUAUUAGAUUAUGUUAUAUUAAAGACAUUAUCUUAAAGGAAAUUGUACACAUUAGGAAGAAUCGUAUUUAAGAAAAUUAAACAAAUUUUAUCACUAAAAUGAUUUUCUCAAUCAAUUUUAAACGUUCUCUAAAUUUAUUGAAGAUGAUUAAGCAAAACUUAGUAUAGUUAAGGACUAAGACUUAAUUAUGUCAAUGUAUUAUUUCUUUGCUAGAUAUUUAAUUAUGUUUUUUUGAAUGAUUACGUUUUUCUUUUAGAAAAGGGAACUGUGUAAUUCUAUUUAUAUUAUAAAGCAAUAUAAAGGAGGAUAAGUAAGUAAAAAUGUAUUUUUCAGACUUAUUAAGAAUUACUAAAUGCAAGUACGAAGUUCUAUAGAACUAUUUAAGGUGUAGUUGAGGUAAAGAAAAAUUAUGUGAAAACUUAGAAUGUUGAAUUUUCAAUUUUUAUUUUUGACACUGAUUAAUUUGGUCAUAUAUCAAUAAUUAUAUCUAAUUUAUAUUCAUCUCCUUCACGACCAUAGUCAAAUAUCUUAGUUUUGGUAAAUCAAGCUCCUCCACCAUCUUGUUCAUUCCAACCACAUGUUUUAGCUCCUCUUCAACACUUUCCAUCACUCUUAGAUGUCACACAAGUUCUGAAAUGGUCCAUUCAAUCACGUUGCUAUGUCAAACACAAUACCCUUUAUGUUUGUUUUAUCAAUUAUAGUGCAUCUUCAACAUGUGGAUGUAUUGGUUGGUUUUUCAACCAAAGUAGUGUGUUAAUGAAAUCAUUAAGGUGGUGUGUAGGACGUAGAUUAAUGAGACUAGGGGGAGCUAGGAGAAUGAGUUGUGUUAGAGGAAACAUAGUUUCUUUAGUUUAUUCUUUGUGUGUGAAGCUUUGGAGAUGGCAAAAAGAAUUGAUUGUAACCUGUAUUUAUAUCUUUCUCUUGCAUGAAUGAAUUCAUGUUGGGUGAUAAAAGACAAAUGUGAUUUUUAAUAAAUUUUCACCUAAAGAAAUUUGAGUUUGAGUUUUUGAAUAAAACAACGUUAAGUAACAUUAUUAGCAUUUUUCAAAUCAAUCUUUCAAACUCUGACGAAGUAUACAUGUAUUGUUUAAGUGAUAAGAAUGUGUAUAUGUAACGCUUGAAAAAUAGUAAAGAAGAUUAACGUCUCUUUACGAUUUGGGACGAUUCUACUUUAGAUACCUCUAAUUGUUUUUGUUGAUGAUUAUAGAUUUUUACUCAUGAAAUCAGAUAAUGGAUUUUGUGAUGAUUGAAGAAAAAUCCUGAAGGAUUCAUUCAAAUCUAUUUGACCACCAAAGUAAGCAUUGAUAACUAAAAUUAGCAAUGAUCGGGUCGUUGUUUUGUGUAUGAUUAAAAAAUUUGCAGGAUAAAGAUAUCAAAACAUAUCCCUAGAAAAUGACAAUCAUUGAACAUGAAAAAAAUGUUUUCAGUUGCUUUUUUGUUGUCAAAAUUAAGAAUUUCUUUAUUGUUUUGGUGGAGAAAAUGUUUUAGAUUAAGAGAAAGUUCAUUACCUUAUAAGAUAAAUCUGAAUGCAAACCCAUAACUAGAAGAUUCGACCGAAUGUGUUGACUCUCAUGGUUAAAUUAAGAAUUACAUCCACUAUCUUUGAUGAUAAGAAUUAAUGAAUUACGUGUUUUAAAAAAAUCUUCAAUAACAUCAAUUGAAUCUCAUCCUUCAUUUUCGAUCGAAUCCAUUUUCUGCAUUAUGUUAUUUCUUUUCCAUGUUUUGUUUUGCAAUGUUGAUUUUCUAGUCCAAUUUCGAAUAUUAGAAUAUUGAAUGUUUCGUGCACCUAUAGCCAAAAUCUUGCUUUUGUUUUGCUCGGGCUAAUAAUUAAGCAAUCCUAUCUUUAUAGUAAUAUUAAGAAGAUAAGGUAGUUGCGUGGGGAACUAUUUUGUCUUUUGUUUUUGUUAUUGAACCAUAUUGUGUAUCUUUCAAGCUAGUGCAGGAAUAUUAUAAAAUAUUGUAAAAGAAGUACAAAAAUAGUAGAAGUACUUUUCAUGUUGUCUUUUUGUAUUAUACAAUUAACACCACAACAAUCAGAGCAUUGGGUUUUAUGGGUAAUGAUACGUUGACUACUCAUAUUUUUUAUACAAUCACAUUACAACUCUCAAUACUAUUAUUUUAAUACUUUUUCAUAUCAUUUAAUUCCAAACUUACUCUUUAUUUAUAUAUUUCUUUCUAAAUCUAUCACAUCAAGAGUUGUAUAUAACUCUAAGGAUCGUCAAAGUAUCAUUUUCCGGGUUUAAUCCAUUCCAACUUCACCUGUUAGGCGAUAAGUUGGCACAGCUAGCAAAUGCUUACUUCUUGGCAUUGUGAGACCAAAUUUCUCAGUCAUGUCCAACUCAUCAGGGGACAUGCCUGAUGGAAGUUCCCAGUUGAAGCAAUGAACCAAUUGAGAAAGAACAAUCUUAACAGUGGUUAGACCCAAAUGAAUCCCAGGACACCCUCUACGACCAGAACCAAAUGGUAUGAGUCUAAAGUCAAAUCCUUUGAUGUCCACAUUGUUGUUGGUAAAUCUUUCAGGAUAAAACAUUUCAGCAUUAUCUGACCAAACUUUAGGAUCUCUCCCCACAGCCCAUGCAUUCACUAUCACCCUUGAAUUUUUCUUUAUGAAAUAACCAUCUAUAGUAACAUCUUCUCUACACUCACGAGGUACUAGCAAAGGUACAACAGGGUACAAUCUUAGUGUCUCCUUCACCACUAAGUCCAAAUAAAGCAAUUUUUCCAUAUCAGUCUCCUCCACCUUUCUUUUCAUUCCCACUACACUUUCCAACUCAUCUUGAAGUUUCUUCAUCACCCUUGGAUGCUUUAAGAGUUCAGACAUGGCCCACUCAACCGAUGUGGAAGAUGUGUCAAUUCCUGCAAUAAUCAUAGUCAUCACGACAGCCUUGAUAUGCGUUCUUUCAACCACAGGACCAUGUUCAUCGUGAGGAUCCAGGGGUUGAUGCAUAAGUGCAAGGAAUAUGUCCACAAAGUCCUUUUGGCCUUUUUCUUCUUUAUCAGAAUAUUGUUCAUGGUCUCUGAUAAUCUGCUCCAGGACUACGUCAAAUGAUUUGCUCACUUUCUUUAAUCGUCUUACUAGUCCCUAAUAUAACAAUGAUUGAAUUAAUAUCUCAUUGUUUAAGGAUAAAAUCAUAAGUCAUAAAUAAAUAAGUGAAUAAUGAAAUGAAAGUUACAUCAGAAAAUUAAAUCAAAUUGUUAGUUUUGACGAACUUCCUAGUAUGAAUAUUUAUUCAACACAUAUUUUGUCAUUCAAAACAAUCUUCUUUAGGACAUUACUACUUAAGGGAUUAAUCUCUUUUAACCAAUGUUUUUUCAUAUUCAUAGAUGAUAGACCUCAAGAUAAAAUUUCUUACCUCAUGAUUAAAGAACAAGGUUAUAUGUCAAUUAUGUUACACUGUGAUGGUAGAAAAAGCUUGAAUUGUUUAAUUCUAAGGACAACAUAAUUUAACCAUCUAAAUAACAAUAAAAUCUAAACUAUGAAAGAUCAUUAACAAAAUAUGCAACACAACUACAUGUUCAGAAUCAAAAGUAAUAUGAUACGGGAUAUGCCAAGUGUUUACAAUAUCUAGUAGCAUUUCAUACCUGAAGAUCAAACAUACGUAGCCAAGGUAAAUAAUCUGCAACAUUGAAAGUUCCUGCCAAGUCCAAUACUUCACGAACAAGGUUCUUUACAUCAAAUCUAUCGUCCUUACUGCAAUCAAAGAUCAUUUUAAAGGUGACAUUCUCGAUGAUAUUGCCUGCAGUAUCACUAAGAUCUAUAACCUCACGCGAUGAUGCUGUUUUCUGGAGAAACCUGACACACUCUGCCAACUGCUCACUUCUCAA